rnacentral:lncRNA from 1 species
GACAGCACUGUGGCCACCGGGUUUACGAAGACCGUCCCUCCCAGGAAGACACCAACCGACGCCGCCUCCUGCUCCUCCCGCCUCGUCGCUGAGGAGGGCCGUCCCGGAGAACAGCCUACUGUUCAGCGAGCGGGUUAGCCGGCUUUAGCCUCUUCAACAUCUGGUACCCGUUGCCUUUGCGUAGCUAGGUUGAAACCGCUAGCGUCUGUUUUUAUUUCGUUAUCCGAGGUCCAUUAAAAUCCCGUUGUUCUUGCUUUGCUUCCAGAGAGAGUGGGAAAAACACGCACAUUAAUGUCCAGACAACGUGACUGCAUGCCAUGAACGACGAGAGCCACUAACGUUAGAUGGCUGAAAGAAGAAGAAGCAGCAGCGAGCGAGGCUGAAAAGGACCGGUGGUUGAAACCAACGCUGAUUUGGGAUUUCACCCAGAAAUACAACAAAACAGCAAGGUUUUCCACGGAAUAAGAAGCCAGACUUCAGGCCAGAAAUCCGUCAAAGAAACAAACACACAUAAAAAAACUUUGCUGGGAUGAGUGCUUUGUGCCUUGGGGGUCCAGGUUGCACAGAAACGCAGACGCAUCAGCAAUAGUUAUUGCAGCAGAAAGACCACAGUGUGUGUUUGCAGCCUCUGCACAUCACUCCAUUCCACCACUUUCGCCUUUCCCUGGCACAGCUUCAUCCCUGGAUCAACCAUCGUGAUAAAAGGCUUUCCAAUCAGAGAGACAUCGGACAAUUUGGCUUGUGAUUACUUCUCCCCAAGAUAUGUUUGCCUUUUAUCUUUGUGUUUGAUUGUUUUUGAAUCUCUAUGGGUGCAGAGUGCAGCAGGACUUCUUCAUUAGUUGUUGGAUUUCUAGAUUCUGUAACAGCCAGGCUUGGCAGAACCCCUUUACUGCAGAAGUGACUGUACUCAGCAUCAUGAAAUCU